CAGUAGCCACGGUAAUACGGAGGGAGCUAGCGUUGUUCGGAAUUACUGGGCGUAAAGCGCACGUAGGCGGCUUUGUAAGUUAGAGGUGAAAGCCUGGAGCUCAACUCCAGAAUUGCCUUUAAGACUGCAUCGCUUGAAUCCAGGAGAGGUGAGUGGAAUUCCGAGUGUAGAGGUGAGAUUUGUAGAUAUUCGGAAGAACACCAGUGGCGAAGGCGGCUCACUGGACUGGUAUUGACGCUGAGGUGCGAAAGCGUGGGGAGCAAACAGGAUUAGAUACCCCAGUAGUCCCUGUCUCUUAUAC
rnacentral:rRNA from 1 species